rnacentral:rRNA from 1 species
GAUGAACGCUGGCGGCGUGCCUAAUACAUGCAAGUCGAGCGGACGGACGAGAAGCUUGCUUCUCUGUUGUUAGCGGCGCACGGGUGAGUAACACGUGUAUAACCCCCCUAUAAGUCUGGGAUAUCUUCGGGAAACCGGCGCUAAUACCGGAUAAUAUUUUGCACCGCAUGGUUGAUAAGAGAAAGACGGUCUUUCGGUCACUUAUAGAUGCAUCCGCGCUGCUUUAGCUAGUUGGUAAGUUACCGGCGUACCAAGGCAAGGACGCGUAGCCGACGUGAGGGGGUGGUCGGCCACACUGGAACUGUGACAGGGUACAGACGACCAGGGGAGGGGCCAGUAGGGCAACGGGCGCAAGGGGCGAGAGCCAGACGGAAAAACGCCGCGUGCGGGAUGAGGGUCGUCGGAUCGGGGAUGUCUGUUAUUAGGGUAGAACAUGUGUGCAACUAACUGGGCGCGUGUUGAAGGUACCUGAUCAAAAAGGCACGGCUAACUUCGUG